rnacentral:rRNA from 1 species
UUCGCCCUUAGAGUUCGUUUCUGGCUCAGGAUGAACGCUGGCGGCGUGCUUAACACAUGCAAGUCGAACGGAAACUUAUUGAAACCUAGUGAUAUAAGUUUUAGUGGCGGACGGGUGAGUAACGCGUGGGUAACCUGCCUCGUACUGGGGGAUAACAGUUAGAAAUGACUGCUAAUACCGCAUAAGACCACAGAGUCGCAUGACUCAGGGGUAAAAACUCCGGUGGUACGAGAUGGACCCGCGUCUGAUUAGCUAGUUGGUGAGGUAACGGCCCACCAAGGCGACGAUCAGUAGCCGGCCUGAGAGGGUGAACGGCCACAUUGGGACUGAGACACGGCCCAAACUCCUACGGGAGGCAGCAGUGGGGGAUAUUGCACAAUGGAGGAAACUCUGAUGCAGCAACGCCGCGUGAAGGAUGAAGGCCUUCGGGUUGUAAACUUCUGUCCUUAGUGACGAUAAUGACGGUAGCUAAGGAGGAAGCCACGGCUAACUACGUGCCAGCAGCCGCGGUAAUACGUAGGUGGCAAGCGUUGUCCGGAAUUACUGGGUGUAAAGGGUGCGUAGGCGGCUUAUAAAGUCAGAUGUGAAAUACCGAGGCUUAACCUCGGAGCUGCAUUUGAAAUUUAUGAGCUUGAGUGAAGUAGAGGUAAGCGGAAUUCCUAGUGUAGCGGUGAAAUGCGUAGAUAUUAGGAGGAACACCAGUGGCGAAGGCGGCUUACUGGGCUUUAACUGACGCUGAGGCACGAAAGCAUGGGUAGCAAACAGGAUUAGAUACCCUGGUAGUCCAUGCCGUAAACGAUGGAUACUAGGUGUGAGGGGUAUUGACCCCCCUCGUGCCGCAGUUAACGCAAUAAGUAUCCCACCUGGGGAGUACGGCCGCAAGGUUGAAACUCAAAGGAAUUGACGGGGGCCCGCACAAGCAGUGGAGUAUGUGGUUUAAUUCGAAGCAACGCGAAAAACCUUACCAGGUCUUGACAUCCAACUAACGAGGUAGAGAUACGUUAGGUGCCCUUCGGGGAAAGUUGAGACAGGUGGUGCAUGGUUGUCGUCAGCUCGUGUCGUGAGAUGUUGGGUUAAGUCCCGCAACGAGCGCAACCCCUAUGAUUAGUUGCUACGCAAGAGCACUCUAAUCAGACUGCCGUUGACAAAACGGAGGAAGGUGGGGAUGACGUCAAAUCAUCAUGCCCUUUAUGACCUGGGCUACACACGUACUACAAUGGCGUUUAACAAAGGGAAGCAAAGCCGCGAGGUGGAGCAAAUCCCCAAAAAACGUCUCAGUUCGGACUGUAGGCUGCAACCCGCCUACACGAAGUCGGAAUUGCUAGUAAUCGCGGAUCAGCAUGCCGCGGUGAAUACGUUCCCGGGCCUUGCACUCACCGCCCGUCA